AUUGAACGCUGGCGGCAGGCCUAACACAUGCAAGUCGAACGAGUGGCGGACGGGUGAGUAAUGUCUGGGAAACUGCCUGAUGGAGGGGGAUAACUACUUGAAACGGUAGCUAAUACCGCAUACCCUCGGAUGUGCCCAGCUGGGAUUAGCUAGUAGGUGGGGUAACGGCUCACCUAGGCGACGAUACCUAGCUGGUCUGAGAGGAUGACCAGCCACACGGGAACUGAGACACGGUCCAGAUUCAUACGGGAGGCAGCAGUGGGGAAUAUUGCACAAUGGGCGCAAGCCUGAUGCAGCAAUGCCGCGUGUAGGAAGAAGGCCUUCGGGUUGUAAAGUACUUUCAGCGGGGAGGCGUUACCCGCAGAAGAAGCACCGGCUAACUCCGUGCCAGCAGCCGCGGUAAUUC
rnacentral:rRNA from 1 species